CCUUUACUAUAGCUUCGCCUUGGCGUUAGCGACCGUAUGUGUAGGAUAGGUGGGAGGCUAUGAAACCGGGGCGCCAGCUCUGGUGGAGCCAUCCUUGAAAUACCACCCUUACUGUCGUUGACGUCUAACCGAGGGCCGUUAUCCGGUCCCGGGACAUGGCAUGGUGGGUAGUUUGACUGGGGCGGUCGCCUCCUAAAGUGUAACGGAGGCGCGCGAUGGUGGGCUCAGACCGGUCGGAAAUCGGUCGUCGAGUGCAAUGGCAUAAGCCCGCCUGACUGCGAGACUGACAAGUCGAGCAGAGACGAAAGUCGGCCAUAGUGAUCCGGUGGUCCCGCGUGGAAGGGCCAUCGCUCAACGGAUAAAAGGUA
rnacentral:rRNA from 1 species